rnacentral:rRNA from 1 species
GGGUUGUGAGGUUAAGCGACUAAGCGUACACGGUGGAUGCCUAGGCAGUCAGAGGCGAUGAAGGGCGUGCUAAUCUGCGAUAAGCGUCGGUAAGCUGAUAUGAAGCGUUAUACCCGACGAUACCCGAAUGGGGAAACCCAGUGUGUUUCGACACACUAUCAUUACGUGAAUACAUAGCGUAAUGAGGCGAACCGGGGGAACUGAAACAUCUCAGUACCCCGAGGAAAAGAAAUCAACCGAGAUUCCCCUAGUAGCGGCGAGCGAACGGGGAGGAGCCCAGAACCUGAAUCAGUUUGUGUAUUAGUGGAAGCGUCUGGAAAGUCGCACAGUAAAGGGUGAUAGUCCCGUACACAAAAAUGCACAAAUUGUGAGUUCGAUGAGUAGGGCGGGACACGUGACAUCCUGUCUGAAUAUGGGGGGACCAUCCUCCAAGGCUAAAUACUCCUGACUGACCGAUAGUGAACCAGUACCGUGAGGGAAAGGCGAAAAGAACCCCGGCGAGGGGAGUGAAAUAGAACCUGAAACCGUGUACGUACAAGCAGUGGGAGCCUUGAUUAAUCAGGGUGACUGCGUACCUUUUGUAUAAUGGGUCAGCGACUUAUAUUCUGUAGCAAGGUUAACCGUAUAGGGGAGCCGUAGGGAAACCGAGUCUUAACUGGGCGUUAAGUUGCAGGGUAUAGACCCGAAACCCGGUGAUCUAGCCAUGGGCAGGUUGAAGGUUGGGUAACACUAACUGGAGGACCGAACCGACUAAUGUUGAAAAAUUAGCGGAUGACUUGUGGCUGGGGGUGAAAGGCCAAUCAAACCGGGAGAUAGCUGGUUCUCCCCGAAAGCUAUUUAGGUAGCGCCUCGUGAAUUCAUCUUCGGGGGUAGAGCACUGUUUCGGCUAGGGGGUCAUCCCGACUUACCAACCCGAUGCAAACUACGAAUACCGAAGAAUGUUAUCACGGGAGACACACGGCGGGUGCUAACGUUCGUCGUGAAGAGGGAAACAACCCAGACCGCCAGCUAAGGUCCCAAAGUCAUGGUUAAGUGGGAAACGAUGUGGGAAGGCACAGACAGCCAGGAUGUUGGCUUAGAAGCAGCCAUCAUUUAAAGAAAGCGUAAUAGCUCACUGGUCGAGUCGGCCUGCGCGGAAGAUGUAACGGGGCUAAACCAUGCACCGAAGCUGCGGCAGCGACACUUAGGUGUUGUUGGGUAGGGGAGCGUUCUGUAAGCCGUCGAAGGUGACCUGUGAGGGUUGCUGGAGGUAUCAGAAGUGCGAAUGCUGACAUAAGUAACGAUAAUGCGGGUGAAAAACCCGCACGCCGGAAGACCAAGGGUUCCUGUCCAACGUUAAUCGGGGCAGGGUGAGUCGACCCCUAAGGCGAGGCUGAAAAGCGUAGUCGAUGGGAAACAGGUUAAUAUUCCUGUACUCGGUGUUACUGCGAAGGGGGGACGGAGAAAGCUAGGUUAUCCGGGCGACGGUUGUCCCGGUUUAAGCGUGAAGGUGGAUGACUUUGGUAAAUCCGGGUCGUCAUUAACACUGAGGCGUGAUGACGAGUCACUACGGUGAUGAAGUAACCAAUGCUACGCUUCCAGGAAAAGCCUCUAAGCUCCAGGUAACAUCAAAUCGUACCCCAAACCGACACAGGUGGUCAGGUAGAGAAUACUCAGGCGCUUGAGAGAACUCGGGUGAAGGAACUAGGCAAAAUGGUGCCGUAACUUCGGGAGAAGGCACGCUGAUGGUAGGUGAAGUGACUUGCUCAUGGAGCUGAAAUCAGUCGAAGAUACCAGCUGGCUGCAACUGUUUAAUAAAAACACAGCACUGUGCAAACACGAAAGUGGACGUAUACGGUGUGACGCCUGCCCGGUGCCGGAAGGUUAAUUGAUGGGGUCAGCCGCAAGGCGAAGCUCUUGAUCGAAGCCCCGGUAAACGGCGGCCGUAACUAUAACGGUCCUAAGGUAGCGAAAUUCCUUGUCGGGUAAGUUCCGACCUGCACGAAUGGCGUAAUGAUGGCCAGGCUGUCUCCACCCGAGACUCAGUGAAAUUGAACUCGCUGUGAAGAUGCAGUGUACCCGCGGCAAGACGGAAAGACCCCGUGAACCUUUACUAUAGCUUGACACUGAACCUUGAGCCUUGAUGUGUAGGAUAGGUGGGAGGCUUUGAAGCGUGGACGCCAGUCUGCGUGGAGCCAACCUUGAAAUACCACCCUUUAAUGUUUGAUGUUCUAACGUGGGCCCGUGAUCCGGGUUGCGGACAGUGUCUGGUGGGUAGUUUGACUGGGGCGGUCUCCUCCCAAAGCGUAACGGAGGAGCACGAAGGUUAGCUAAUCCUGGUCGGACAUCAGGAGGUUAGUGCAAAGGCAUAAGCUAGCUUGACUGCGAGAGUGACAGCUCGAGCAGGUGCGAAAGCAGGUCUUAGUGAUCCGGUGGUUCUGAAUGGAAGGGCCAUCGCUCAACGGAUAAAAGGUACUCCGGGGAUAACAGGCUGAUACCGCCCAAGAGUUCAUAUCGACGGCGGUGUUUGGCACCUCGAUGUCGGCUCAUCACAUCCUGGGGCUGAAGUAGGUCCCAAGGGUAUGGCUGUUCGCCAUUUAAAGUGGUACGCGAGCUGGGUUUAGAACGUCGUGAGACAGUUCGGUCCCUAUCUGCCGUGGGCGUUGGAAGAUUGAGAGGGGUUGCUCCUAGUACGAGAGGACCGGAGUGAACGCACCACUGGUGUUCGGGUUGUGAUGCCAAUUGCAUUGCCCGGUAGCUAAGUGCGGAAGAGAUAACCGCUGAAAGCAUCUAAGCGGGAAACUUGCCUCGAGAUGAGUCUUCCCUGGG